GACGUGACUUCAGAGUUUGAUCCUGGCUCAGGAUGAACGCUGGCGGCGUGCUUAACACAUGCAAGUCGAACGGACAAUUCCCCUUCGGGGGAUGCGUUAGUGGCGGACGGGUGAGUAACACGUGAGUAAUCUGCCUUAGAGUGGGGAAUAACACAGGGAAACUUGUGCUAAUACCGCAUAAAAUCAUAGGAGGGCAUCCUCUAAUGAUCAAAGAUUUAUUGCUCUAAGAUGAGCUCGCGUCCGAUUAGAUAGUUGGCGGGGUAAUGGCCCACCAAGUCUACGAUCGGUAGCCGGACUGAGAGGUUGGCCGGCCACAUUGGGACUGAGACACGGCCCAG
rnacentral:rRNA from 1 species